UGGGGAAUUUUGGACAAUGGGCGCAAGCCUGAUCCAGCUAUUCCGCGUGUGGGAUGAAGGCCCUCGGGUUGUAAACCACUUUUGUAGAGAACGAAAAGACACCUUCGAAUAAAGGGUGUUGCUGACGGUACUCUAAGAAUAAGCACCGGCUAACUACGUGCCAGCAGCCGCGGUAAUACGUAGGGUGCGAGCGUUAAUCGGAAUUACUGGGCGUAAAGGGUGCGCAGGCGGUUGAGUAAGACAGAUGUGAAAUCCCCGAGCUUAACUCGGGAAUGGCAUAUGUGACUGCUCGACUAGAGUGUGUCAGAGGGAGGUGGAAUUCCACGUGUAGCAGUGAAAUGCGUAGAUAUGUGGAAGAACACCGAUGGCGAAGGCAGCCUCCUGGGACAUAACUGACGCUCAGGCACGAAAGCGUGGGGAGCAAACAGG
rnacentral:rRNA from 2 species